rnacentral:rRNA from 1 species
UACGGGGGGGGCAAGCGUUGUUCGGAUUCAUUGGGCGUAAAGGGUGUGUAGGUGGCGCCGUAAGUCGGGUGUGAAAUCUCACAGCUUAACUGUGAAACUGCCUUUGAUACUGCAGAUCUUGAGUUCGGGAGAGGUUGAUGGAAUUCCAGGUGUAGCGGUGAAAUGCGUAGAUAUCUGGAAGAACACCAGUGGCGAAGGCGGUCAACUGGCCCGUAACUGACGCUCAGGCACGAAAGCGUGGGUAGCAAACAGG